rnacentral:rRNA from 1 species
AACGAACGCUGGCGGCAGGCUUAACACAUGCAAGUCGAGCGAGACCUUCGGGUCUAGCGGCGGACGGGUGAGUAACGCGUGGGAACGUGCCCUUCUCUACGGAAUAGCCCCGGGAAACUGGGAGUAAUACCGUAUACGCCCUUUGGGGGAAAGAUUUAUCGGAGAAGGAUCGGCCCGCGUUGGAUUAGGUAGUUGGUGGGGUAAUGGCCCACCAAGCCGACGAUCCAUAGCUGGUUUGAGAGGAUGAUCAGCCACACUGGGACUGAGACACGGCCCAGACUCCUACGGGAGGCAGCAGUGGGGAAUCUUAGACAAUGGGGGCAACCCUGAUCUAGCCAUGCCGCGUGAGUGAUGAAGGCCUUAGGGUUGUAAAGCUCUUUCAGCUGGGAAGAUAACGACGGUACCAGCAGAAGAAGCCCCGGCUAACUCCGUG